rnacentral:rRNA from 1 species
UACAGAGGGUGCAAGCGUUAAUCGGAAUUACUGGGCGUAAGGCGUGCGUAGACGGUUAUGUAAGUCAGAUGUGAAAGCCCAGGGCUCAACCUUGGAAUUGCAUUUGAGACUGCAUAGCUAGGGUGCGGAAGAGGGAAGCGGAAUUUCCGGUGUAGCGGUGAAAUGCGUAGAUAUGCGGAGGAACACCGAUGGCGAAGGCAAUCCCCUGGGCCUGCACUGACGCUCAUGCACGAAAGCGUGGGGAUCAAACAGG